rnacentral:rRNA from 1 species
AUGGCAGAAUGCUUCAAUAAGGUGCUCAAGGGUGUACGUGCAUUACCCGUGACGGCAAUAGUUCAAUACACAUUUGACAAGAUGAAUGAAUACUUUUUGAAGCACUCAAUGGAGACUGAUAAGCAGAUUUCUGGUGAGAACAAGGAUAAGCACAAGUACAAUUUCCCACCAAAGGUUGAAGAAUGGUUGGAAUUUCAAUCACGAAAGGCAGACUCCGAAGAAGCUGUUCUAUAUGACGACAACGAGUGGAAGUAUGAGGUGAAAGAGCCCGGAGGAACCACAAAUGAUGGCCGCCAACACGGAGGCCGGGCUUUCAAGGUCUCCCUAACACGGUGUGAUUGCAGCUGCAUGAGGCCGUCUUUGCUUCAUCUCCCAUGCUCGCACUUGUUAAACGCAUCCCGGGUUAGGAAUGUGGACGUCAAUCACCCUCUAACCGUGAGGGAGUCCGAGUUCUCAAUCAUGACGGUAAAGAAGACAUGGACUCCACGGUUCCAGCCAUACUUGGACCAAUCACAAUGGCCGGAGUAUCAUGGAGUUCAACUAUGGCCGGACCCG